GCCAGGCAUGGUGGCGCAUGCCUAUAAUCCCAGCUACUCAGGAGGCUGGUGAUCCACCCGCCAUGGCUUCCCAAAGUGCUGGGAUUUCAGGUGUGAGCCACAGCGCCCAGCCCAUAAAAUUGUAUUUUAAUGAGCUACCUUAUGUUAUUAUUGGUGUUUAUUCAAUUGGCUGAUUAGAUUUUGGGGGUGGCAUCGGCUGGGUGCAGUGGCUCAUGCCUGUAAUCCCGGCACUUAGGGAGGCUGAGGCAGGUGGAUCACCU
ensembl:misc_RNA Metazoa_SRP Metazoan signal recognition particle RNA